rnacentral:rRNA from 1 species
UACGUAGGGUGCGAGCGUUAAUCGGAAUUACUGGGCGUAAAGCGUGCGCAGGCGGUUUUGUAAGCCAGAUGUGAAAUCCCCGGGCUUAACCUGGGAAUGGCAUUUGGGACUGCAAGGCUGGAGUGCGGCAGAGGAGACUGGAAUUCCCGGUGUAGCAGUGAAAUGCGUAGAUACCGGGAGGAAUACCGAUGGCGAAGGCAGGUCUCUGGGCUGACACUGACGCUCAUGCACGAAAGCGUGGGGAGCAAACAGG